GACGAACGCUGGCGGCGUGCUUAACACGUGCAAGUCGAACGGAAAGGCCCUGCUUUUGUGGGGUGCUCGAGUGGCGAACGGGUGAGUAUCACGUGAGUAACCUGCCCUUGACUUUGGGAUAACUUCAGGAAACUGGGGCUAAUACCGGAUAGGAGCUCCUGCUGCAUGGUGGGGGUUGGAAAGUUUCGGCGGUUGGGGAUGGACUCGCGGCUUAUCAGCUUGUUGGUGGGGUAGUGGCUUACCAAGGCUUUGACGGGUAGCCGGCCUGAGAGGGUGACCGGCCACAUUGGGACUGAGAUACGGCCCAGACUCCUACGGGAGGCAGCAGUGGGGAAUAUUGCACAAUGGGCGGAAGCCUGAUGCAGCAACGCCGCGUGCGGGAUGACGGCCUUCGGGUUGUAAACCGCUUUCGCCUGUGACGAAGCGUGAGUGACGGUAAUGGGUAAAGAAGCACCGGCUAACUACGUG
rnacentral:rRNA from 1 species